rnacentral:rRNA from 1 species
GCACAAGCGGUGGAGCAUGUGGUUAAUUCGAAGCAACGCGAAGAACCUUACCAGGUCUUGACAUCCCCUGACAACCCGAGAGAUCGGGCGUUCCCCGUUCGGGGGGACAGGGUGACAGGUGGUGCAUGGUUGUCGUCAGCUCGUGUCGUGAGAUGUUGGGUUAAGUCCCGCAACGAGCGCAACCCUCGACCUUAGUUGCCAGCAUUCAGUUGGGCACUCUAAGGUGACUGCCGGCUAAAAGUCGGAGGAAGGUGGGGAUGACGUCAAAUCAUCAUGCCCCUUAUGACCUGGGCUACACACGUGCUACAAUGGCCGGUACAAAGAGUUGCGAAACUGUGAAGUUAAGCUAAUCUCAUAAAGCCGGUCUCAGUUCGGAUUGUAGUCUGCAACUCGACUACAUGAAGUCGGAAUCGCUAGUAAUCGCGAAUCAGAAUGUCGCGGUGAAUACGUUCUCGAGUCUU